rnacentral:rRNA from 1 species
UUACGGGAGGCAGCAGUGGGGAAUAUUGGACAAUGGGCGAAAGCCUGAUCCAGCAAUACCGCGUGUGUGAAGAAGGCCUUAGGGUUGUAAAGCACUUUCAAUUGGGAGGAAAACCUACCGGUCAAUACCCGGUAGCUUGACAUUACCUUUAGAAGAAGCACCGGCUAACUCCGUGCCAGCAGCCGCGGUAAUACGGAGGGUGCAAGCGUUAAUCGGAAUUACUGGGCGUAAAGCGUGCGUAGGCGGUUCGUUAAGUCAGAUGUGAAAGCCCUGGGCUCAACCUGGGAACUGCAUUUGAAACUGGCGGACUAGAGUUUAGUAGAGGGGAGUGGAAUUUCAGGUGUAGCGGUGAAAUGCGUAGAUAUCUGAAGGAACACCAGUGGCGAAGGCGACUCCCUGGACUAAAACUGACGCUGAGGUACGAAAGCGUGGGUAGCAAACAGGAUUAGAUACCCCGGU